rnacentral:rRNA from 1 species
GCAAGUGACUCUGGUAGCCUGGACUUGAGUAGGUUGGCCGGCCACACGUGGAGAUCUGAGACACCGGUCUCAGAUCUCCAUAACGGGAGGCAGCAGUGGGGAAUCUUGCACAAUGGACUGAAAGUCUGAUGCAUGCAACGCCGCGUGGGGGAUGAAGCUUUUCGGAGUGUAAACCCCUUUCGACCCGGAAGAAAGCCCGCAAGGGUUUGACGGUACGGGUAUAAGAAGCCCCGGCUAACUACGUGCCAGCAGCCGCGGUAAAACGUAGGGGGCCAGCGUUGCUCGGGAAUUACUGGGCGUAAAGGGUGCGUAGGCGGUUGGGUAAGUCUGACGUGAAAUCUCCGGGCCUAACCCGGAAACUGCGUCGGAUACUAUCCGGCUAGAGGGAUUGGAAGGGAGACUGGAAUAAUUUGGUGUUAAGCCAGUUGAAAUGCGUAGAUUUCAAGUGGAAAACCAGUUGGGCGAAGGCGAAGUCUCUUGGAACAAUUCCUGAACGGCUUUGAGGGCACGAAAAGUCCAGGGGAAGGCAAAACGGGGAUUUAGAAUACCCCCCCGGGGUAGAGUUCCCUUGGGGCCCCU